GUAAUGAACAUCACUACUACAGCUUCGUACAUUUUACUUCAUUCCAUUAGUAUCCUUGUUUUUUGUCAUACCUAGCAUCUGUGAUGUGCGCACUUUGCAAUCGCCAUUUCCUUUUUAGAAACGGAGCUUCUUACCCUACAAAAAUCAGCCGAAGUGGCAACGACAACGAAUAAUGGUACAAUAAAAGGCAUUACCAAUCGAUGUUGUAAUUCCAAUCAGUUCUGUGGAGAAAUUUAACGUUGCUUUCAAGGCAGGCCAGGAGAUCAUGGAUUUAAAAUCGCUGAAAGGAAUAUACGUGGUUGCGAAAGGUGAAAUGGUAUAUGUCGCUACAGGCGGAAAAAGAGUAAGUUGUUCUUCUGCAGCGACGAAAGCGUCUCCUGUUGCUGCAACAAGAGGAUUCAAGUCUAUCUAACUCAUGCAAAUCAACGUUUACUGUAUGUAGAAUAAGUUAUAAGUAAUAUGUACUAAUUAUGUAGAAUAAUACCAUAUAUAAUAAAAUAUAAUAGAAUAAAAAUAAAAAAAUAAAUCCAUAUCCCUGAU